GACGAACGCUGGCGGCCCGUCUAACACAUGCAAGUCGAACGAGCGAGAGAGAGCUUGCUUCUCUUGAGCGAGUGGCGAACGGGUGAGUAACGCGUGAGGAACCUGCCUCAAAGAGGGGGACAACAGUUAGAAACGACUGCUAAUACCGCAUAAGCCCACGACCCGGCAUCGGGUUGAGGGAAAGGGAGCAAUCCGCUUUGAGAUGGCCUCGCGUCCGAUUAGCUAGUUGGUGAGGUAACGGCCCACCAAGGCGACGAUCGGUAGCCGGACUGAGAGGUUGAACGGCCACAUUGGGACUGAGACACGGCCCAGACUCCUACGGGAGGCAGCAGUGGGGAAUAUUGCACAAUGGGGGAAACCCUGAUGCAGCGACGCCGCGUGGAGGAAGAAGGUCUUCGGAUUGUAAACUCCUGUUGUUGAGGAAGAUAAUGACGGUACUCAACAAGGAAGUGACGGCUAACUACGUGCCAGCAGCCGCGGUAAAACGUAGGUCACAAGCGUUGUCCGGAAUUACUGGGUGUAAAGGGAGCGCAGGCGGGAAGACAAGUUGGAAGUGAAAUCUAUGGGCUCAACCCAUAAACUGCUUUCAAAGCUGUUUUUCUUGAGUAGUGCAGAGGUAGGCGGAAUUCCCGGUGUAGCGGUGGAAUGCGUAGAUAUCGGGAGGAACACCAGUGGCGAAGGCGGCCUACUGGGCACCAACUGACGCUGAGGCUCGAAAGUGUGGGUAGCAAACAGG
rnacentral:rRNA from 1 species